UCCUACGGGAGGCAGCAGUGGGGAAUAUUGGACAAUGGGCGAAAGCCUGAUCCAGCAAUGCCGCGUGAGUGAUGAAGGCCUUAGGGUCGUAAAGCUCUUUUACCAGGGAUGAUAAUGACAGUACCUGGAGAAUAAGCUCCGGCUAACUCCGUGCCAGCAGCCGCGGUAAUACGGAGGGAGCUAGCGUUGUUCGGAAUUACUGGGCGUAAAGCGUGCGUAGGCGGUUAUUCAAGUCAGAGGUGAAAGCCCGGGGCUCAACCCCGGAACUGCCUUUGAAACUAGAUAACUAGAAUCUUGGAGAGGUCAGUGGAAUUCCGAGUGUAGAGGUGAAAUUCGUAGAUAUUCGGAAGAACACCAGUGGCGAAGGCGACUGACUGGACAAGUAUUGACGCUGAGGUACGAAAGCGUGGGGAGCAAACAGGAUUAGAUACCCUGGUAG
rnacentral:rRNA from 1 species